UUUUGGACUUCGUCUUGAUGAGCAAGUCGAGCCAUGAUAGAGCUCAUGAAAUCUGUGGUGAUGGGCGGCGCGGCUUCGGGCGUUGGGGUUGGUUCGCCGCCCGGAGCGCCGAGGGUGGCGUCGUUUUGAACCAUGUAGAUCUAGAACGUUACUUUAGUCGGCCCCACGGUGGGCGCCAAUUGUUUGUGCAGGAUUCGGUUGAUUAGAACGAUGAACGUAGGAAUGGGGUGACUAAAGACGCUUUUAUUAGAAUCAAACAAGAGGUUACAAGAUUGACGGGAAAUAAGGAGACAAGAUCAAAGGUUCAAGCAACAGGAUCAAAGAGAUGAUUAGGAAACCCUAGAUCUAGCCGCUUCUGUGUGUGUUGUCCAAAAGUCCUCUUUUUUGUUGUCUCCUCAUCCCCUCUUAUAGUGUCCCCGUCCGUGAUGCCCUAAUCGUGUCGUCCUUUGGGCCCUGUCGUUAAAGGCCGAGUAUGGGGGCCUUGGCACUGUUCUCUAUAAGCCAAACGUAUUUAGUCGGCUUAGCUGAUCGGCUAAAAGUACUCUGGGGUCGAGCCGCCAUGUUUAGCCGCUCAAACCGACUAAACUGGUUAAGCUUGCCGGGCUAGGGCCUGUUAUUCGAUGGGUUUUGUGGAGGGAUGUAAUCCAUCUCCUACACUGAAGUGUGUGUUACAAGAAAUGAGGAAACACAAAUGGAAAUCCAAGUUACUACAAGAAGUGUUGGGACAUAUCAUUUGUGUUUUGGCUGGCACUUUUUAAUUUGGGGCCCUGUUAUGUAUGUUGUAAAGAGCUGCUGAGUCUAGGGAAAUACACUUUUCUGUCUUUAGAUUUAUAUUCAUAGCUUCUGAUUUGCUAAUCAACUAUAAACUAGUAGAGUUUUUACUAUUGCAAAUAUGGUUUGGAAUGCUUAUUUUUUCUUUAUAAAAUGUUUGACGAUUUAUCCUACUUGGUUUUCUUAUGGAAUAUUGGAAUGUUGUUUCUUUUUAUUUUAUUGGGUUAAGGUUUUGGUGAAGACUGAAGGGCUUAACAUAAGUUUGAUGCUGCAUCAGUUGUAUAAUUUGAGUUAACCGAUUAUAUAUAUGUUGCUUUAGAUCAGGUAAGUGUUCCCAUCUUAAAACCAAGAAUUUGGUUCCAACUGCAGGAUUUCUGAUUAAGUUUGUGAUUCCAAACUGCAGUUCAUUUGAGCUUACUCUUAACCCAACCCAGUUCAGCUUCAUUCCAAUAAGCUUGGUGCACCUAAACAUUCAAACUGUUUAGCAAGAACUUCCCCUAAAACAUGCAUAAACAAAUAAAUAGACAUGAAUUCUAGCAACAUUAAGCAGCCAACAGUAUUUAGGUAAGUUUUUUGACAAGCUUGUAGCAAAAUUUUCAGAAGGACUUGUUGUGGUUAGAUGUAACAUCUAAGAACGUGGUUAAUUUAAAAGAAUCUAAAAUACUCAUCUUUCUUCUCAACUUACUUUUUCCUAUUUCAGAAACCUAAAAAUGUUACGAUAUUCAAACAACUUACUUGACCACCAAGCAAUCUUGUUGGCAUAUCUAUAAUCUAUCAACAUUUAUUAAUGUGUUACCCAAAAACCAUUCAAAAAUGAACCGAACAAACCCAAAAGAAUCUCUCAGAUUACAUCAACCCGACAUUUCUACGGGAUAUCGAGUCUACAAGAGUCAAGAGAAGUGGCAACGCAAAAGAAUGGCGUGCUCCAAAGAUACAGUUGGAGAAAACCUCUCCGUACGCAGUAGCGCAUAUAUAAUUCCCGGAGAAAGCCUCCAUCUCUGGAAAAAAUCCUUCUCCAAGGUGGUGGUUUAAUCAUCUACACAGUGUUCUCGCCGACUUACCACACUUUCCUCACUUCAGCGGUAGCCGCAGCCAACUGCUUGAUAAUACUAUGCUUAAGAAAAGAGCGGAAAUGAAUUUAAUUUUGUAUCAGUUGCAUAUAAACUAUGCUUAUUCAGUUAUUCUCAAAUACGUAGAAGUGUUUAAUAAAACUUGUUUGCUUGAGAUUACAAUCAUUGAACACAACAAUGCAUCUUUAUGGACUUAAUUACUCCCAAUAAAGCUAUAUUCUCGUAAGUCGUCAAUGGCAAGUAAUCUCUAAAUCUCUUCACAUCUCUAUAAAUAAAGUAGACUUUGGUCUCUCCUCCUUGCGCCACGUCACUAUGGAGGGAGGGGCAAAUCGCGCCACGUCAGCGCUCAACUUAAACUUCUCGGAAUGGGCCUACGACGACAAUGAAAUAUUUAGUAGUCUAAUGUUUUCUCCACCUGCGUUUCCGCUAUUCCUGUUGAGAUUCCCUGCAACCCUCAGACAACAGCUUCAGGUUUCUGUAACGCUUAGCCUAGACGAUGAGACGGUUGUCUAUACUUCUAACUAUUAAAUCAGUCCUUCAAUCUCUCUCACAGCAAUGAAUUCAAUAGCUUCCUUCCCAAAAGUUCCGAUGAAAUCCCUGAAAAAACAUUAUAUAAUAACCGUCUAAGAAAUCUCCAAAUCCAGCUUCUUCAACAGAAUAUAAUCUCUUUCUUACUAGAAAACCGGCAACAAUGGUAUCGUACCAAAUUUUUCUGAUGUUAACACAGGUCGUUGUUCCGAUACCGUAGUCACACGCCUUCUGCUGAGUCUAGGAAGCCCGAGACAUCAACAAAGGAGGGGGGGAUGGGUGUCGACAUGCUCCUUAUUGAUGAAAAGGUUUGUCUCUAAACCUGACAGCUUCUCAUAGACUUGAAGACAUCUAAUUUUGUUUGCCUCUUCCCAGGAAACCCUUAUCCAAGGGUCUAUCAGCGAACAUUGGCUUAACACAUUCCGACAUCUGCUGAGAGAAGGUGCAACUUAUGAGAUUAGCGGAUUGAUGUUUUAAGUAGCAACACGGAAAUGAAGUUCUCAGAUUCAAAAGAAUCGAUACACUUCACAAACUAUACUACGUUUGUUGAGAGGACCGAAUCACGUGCUUCAAUUCCCUUGGAGCGCUUUACGUUAUGCAGCGUUAAUGUCUUUGGCAAAUACUAAUAGUCAGUUACCUGGUGAUGGAAAGCUUGGAACAUGCAAUGAAACGUGAUGCUCAAUUGGUAGCAAAUAUCUUGGAGGCGCUGUUAACUAUGAUUCUCCUCAUAUUACUGAUCCAAGAGCUGGGGCUUGGUGUCUCUUCAUGCAUUGAGAGCUGCCUAGAAGAGGCUGGUGUGUCACCCGAGGACGUAACAAGAAUUAACUUUCAGGCUUCCGAAAUUUUGUAAAAAAAAAGGUUUCCAUUUAUUUGUCUGAAUGUUUUUUCAGGUAAACUACAUCUAUGCGCAUGCAACUUCCACUCUUGCUGGUGAUCUUGCUGAGAUCAAUGCCUUAAAAAAGGUGUUCAAAGCACUUCAGGGAUCAAAAUCAAUGCCACUAAGGAGCAUUGAGAUCACACAAGUUCAAAGGUUGCAAAUGAAAGUUCAUAAAUAUCUCCAUGAGCAGUUUGAGGUAUUGAAUUCACCUGCAUAGCAGCUAAAGAAAUUAACCUUCUUCAUUGCUGAUUUCAAACCAGGAAGGGUAUGAAUUUUUGUUAGUGGUUUAAGCCUGGUUCAUGAAUUGUAGUUAACUUUUAUACCAAAACAUGUUGCAUAUAUGUUUCGGUUAAAGAAGAACCGGGUUAUAUUGUGGAAAAGGAUGCUGCAACCUACAAGUCUUCUAUCUUGAUUUUUAAUUUUUUAUGAGACUGAUAUGAUGGUCUCUUAGAGACAGUGCGUGUAUAAAUAUAGUUUCUCAUUACGUAUGAAGUAAGGUUUCUCAUUACGAAAAUCAUUUUUCAGAUUGUGUAUAAAGUAUAGUUCUUUACGUAAAUCAUUGUUUUUAGAUUCUCAUGUUUUGCCUUUCUUCUGCUUUUUGAUUUGAAUAAAGUCAAACUCAUAUGGUGAGAUUUUUUUUCCAUCGAAACAGAGAUUAUAUUAACUUGAUGGAAUACAUGAUUGGGACACAGAAGCCGGCAAGCCACAUAGCUUCCGGAGACUAAGCCAGCGGAUGAAAGAGCCAUCCCUGGAGACUUUAGCCGGCGAACAACAGACAUGUUCCCGGAACCAAAAGAAAAAACCUUAGAGCUAGGAUGAAACAAACUCAGAACAGAUCCAACAAUACAAUAACUGAACAAUGUUAAAACUGGAAGGGACAAAAAAGA